CCUGCCCCUUGAGGCAUUACAGGUGUGGCUGCUGUGUCACGUGUGUCAGUAGGUGGCAGAGAGAAGAAAGACUGUAUCUAUGCUCAGUAUUCUGACCUGUGAACAUCUGAAUGAUUGGGAGCCUAACACU
ensembl:snoRNA LOC120103296 small nucleolar RNA SNORA17